AGUCAACUUCUAGUGCUAUUGGAGGACUGAAGUAUUCUAAAGAGCAAUGCCUCAACCAAGAGAAAAGUUCAAGAUAAGUUAAGGAGUAUGACCCCAUAUUUGACUGUGGCUCAGCUCCUCACAUCUGCCAUACAGAAAUGAGAAAAAAGGUGGGGAGGGGCCUGUGCUGAGAUUUCCUUCGCCUCCCCCUAUUCAGAUGACAGAAGCUAUCACAUGUGGGCCUUGUCUUCACGGAUCCCGGGACUCAGUUGCUGAGAUAAAAGCUAACCCACAGGAAACACCAGCGAACUGGAAGAAGAUGCUAUCUCACAAGAUGCUGUAGUAGACAGGAGAGCAAUGAGCAUCAUGAAGAUAAAGAUACGAUCGUCAAGGAACUCACAAUGUAACAUGGGAGAAAGAUACGCAGGCAACCAUUUAUUGGUAAGUGGAAUUACGUUGAAACAUAUAAACGGCCAGUAUUCACCCAUUUUUUAGACACACAAAAAUGGCAGUCUCAUCUGAUUCAAUCGAAAGUAGGUGCGUUAUAGUAUGUAGAACAGAUAAAGGUCUCUAAAGGAUCAGGUGUCAGAGGGAAAACUAAACAUUUUGGAGUUGGGCCUGUACUUUAUCCCUAGUGAAUGUGCUACUGACAGCUUUUAACUGACAAGUGAGACAUUGAAAGAAAAGCUUUGAGAGGAUGAAUCUGGUGUCA